rnacentral:rRNA from 1 species
CCUACGGGAGGCAGCAGUGAGGAAUAUUGGUCAAUGGACGAGAGUCUGAACCAGCCAAGUAGCGUGAAGGAUGACUGCCCUAUGGGUUGUAAACUUCUUUUAUAUGGGAAUAAAAUGUUCCACGUGUGGGAUUUUGUAUGUACCAUAUGAAUAAGGAUCGGCUAACUCCGUGCCAGCAGCCGCGGUAAUACGGAGGAUCCGAGCGUUAUCCUGAUUUAUUGGGGUUAAAGGGAGCGUAGGUGGAUUGUUAAGUCAGUUGUGAAAGUUUGCGGCUCAACCGUACAAUUGCAGUUGAAACUGGCAGUCUAGAGGACAGUAGAGGUGGGCGGAAUUCGUGGUGUAGCGGUGAAAUGCUUAGAUAUCACGAAGAACUCCGAUUGCGAAGGCAGCUCACUGGACGGCAACUGACACUGAGGUUCGAAAGUGUGGGUAUCAAACAGGAUUAGAUACCCCAGUAGUC